rnacentral:rRNA from 1 species
UACGUAGGCGGCCUGGUAAGUCAGAUGUGAAAGCCCGGGGCUUAACCCCGGAAGUGCAUUUGAUACUGUCAGGCUUGAGUAUGGGAGAGGGAAGUGGAAUUCCUGGUGUAGAGGUGAAAUUCGUAGAUAUCAGGAGGAACACCGGUGGCGAAGGCGACUUCCUGGACCAAUACUGACGCUGAGGUGCGAAGGCGUGGGUAGCAAACAGGAUUAGAUACCCUGGUAGUCC